rnacentral:rRNA from 1 species
UACAGAGGGUGCGAGCGUUGUCCGGAAUCACUGGGCGUAAAGGGCGCGUAGGUGGUGGCUUAAGCGUGCGGUGAAAGCUCGGAGCCCAACUCCGAGUCGGCCGUGCGAACUGGGCUCACUGGAGCAUAGUAGAGGCAGGUGGAAUUCCGGGUGUAGCGGUGGAAUGCGUAGAGAUCCGGAAGAACACCGGUGGCGAAGGCGGCCUGCUGGGCUAUGGCUGACACUGAGGCGCGACAGCGUGGGGAGCAAACAGG